CAGCCGCCGCGGGAAUACGUAGGGUGCAAGCGUUAAUCGGAAUUACUGGGCGUAAAGCGUGCGUAGGCGGCUUUUUAAGUCGGAUGUGAAAUCCCUGAGCUUAACUUAGGAAUUGCAUUCGAUACUGGGAAGCUAGAGUAUGGGAGAGGAUGGUAGAAUUCCAGGUGUAGCGGUGAAAUGCGUAGAGAUCUGGAGGAAUACCGAUGGCGAAGGCAGCCAUCUGGCCUAAUACUGACGCUGAGGUACGAAAGCAUGGGGAGCAAACAGGAUUAGAUACCCCUGUAGUCCCUGUCUCUUAUAC
rnacentral:rRNA from 1 species